rnacentral:rRNA from 1 species
GCCGUUCGCCACGCCCGCUCAGAACUCAAUGCAGUUGACGGGCCCCGCACAAGCAGCGGAGCGUGUGGUUUAAUUCGAUGCUACACGAAGAACCUUACCAGGUUUGACAUACAAGUAGUAGGGAAAGGAAACUGGACCGACCCUUCGGGAGCUUGAACAGGUGCUGCAUGGCUGUCGUCAGCUCGUGUCGUGAGAUGUUCGGUUAAGUCCGCUAACGAGCGCAACCCUCGCUGUGUGUUACAAGUGUCACACGGAACUGCCGGUCAUAAACCGGAGGAAGGUGGGGAUGACGUCAAGUCAGCAUGGCCUUUAUAUCCUGGGCUACACACACGCUACAAUGGGAAGGGACAAUAGGUUGCGAAGCCGCGAGGCGGAGCCAAUCCAGCAAAACUUCCCUCAGUUCAGAUUGCAGGCUGCAACUCGCCUGCAUGAAGUUGGAGUUGCUAGUAAACGCAGGUCAGCCAUACUGCGUUGAAUACGUUCCCGGGGCUU